rnacentral:misc_RNA from 1 species
CUGAAAAUAUUUCACGCACACCCAUACGUAGGUACGUCACGAGUUGAGACGUAUAUACGCCAAAGGGUUUUCUUUGUUCGAAAAGAAGGAUGAGGAAGAAUUAGGAGCGGAUCGUUGGGACAGAAUUCUUACUUCUGUCCAAACGAACCACCUGAAGAUGGUUUGGACAGGAUUCAUACUUCUGUCCACCCUCAGGUGGAUCGUUGGGACAGAAUUCAGACAUCUGUCCACCCUCAGGUGGAUCUUUAGGACAGGAUUCAUACUUCUGUCCAAAUUAACCGCCUGAGGAUCGUUUGGAUAGAGUCCGUUUUCGCU